UCGCGUGAUUCAACAACAACCUUUCAUCUUGGGGGCUCGUCCGGGAUCCUUCAGGACAAGCUUGGGAGGAUCUAAAGGAUAAACUGCUGGGUCUGUGGAGCGCUCCCCUCUUCGUCAGUGGAAGGCUUCCCGUGGUGGACAUCCCCACUUCAAGGAAAAGACUUUCUCCAGGUCUGUGAAUACCUUCGACAACAAUCACAUGCAAUGCCUAUUCUUCAUCUGAUGACGUCUACCAACCCUAAAAUGGACUGGUGCAACACUUUGCACUUUAACUAUGGACAUAAUGUGACUUUUAAUUAUGAUUCUGAAUGUUGUGUUUUUGCUGUUUGCUCCCUGCAUCUGUAA